UCCAACGAGGGUGGGAAUGAGGUGGCGGCGGAGGGCUCGGAUUCGUCGUCGAAUGGGGAUCUUGGGAAGGCACGACGAGCAACUUUGCCUUCUUUCACCACUACAGGAAAGUGGACCGACGACGACGUCGAGGAGUUCGACGCCUUCGAUCCGUUCUGAGGCCCCCAGGUUUUACUCGGUCUCUGGUCGUCCGAUUCUUAUUCCCUUUUUUGGUACGGGAUUGUUGGUCUUGUUCUUGUCCUAAUCAGUCUCUUGGAAUGCUUCCGUAAUAUGGGUUCGGAAACAAGUAAAGAUCCGAUCUUUUCUUCUUCGACGAUUGCGAUUGAUGAUUUCUCCUCUAUUUUAUCUGAUUGUAUCGUGUCGCGGUGGAUUUGUUCGGAUGCUGAUAAUCAGUGCCCCCUUUGUGCCACAUCUCUACUAUGCUUAAUUACUGCAUAGUUUUUCGUUUCUUUCGACGCUGGAUUGUUCGGUUGGUAAUCUAUAGAUUGGUUUUGUCAAUGUGGCAUAUGCAGAAGGAAUGUGUUAAGGAUGUCGUAGUGCAGUAAAUGGUGCGUUUUGUCUGCAUGUUAGAGGAAAUCACUCUCUUCCCGAGUCGUAGGUGUGUAAAACAGGACAAAAUUGAAGGGAGAGUGUGGAUGUAGAAAAGGGAAGAUAUUUAGGAGGCUUAAGGGUUCUAGAAAAAGAAAGAAGAGUAAACAUAGGUGAAGAGAGGAACGGGGAAAUGAUGCAAUGAAAAGAGGAUGCUUUUGUCGGCUUAUUUUGUUUUAGAUAAAGUACUUGAAAAGGCAAAUAAUAUUCUUUGGCAUAUGUUACUUCGAGGAUUGUUACUUGGUAAUAUAUUUGUUUACUUUUUGUCUGACAUCAUUUUCACUGAAAACAAAAAAAAAACAAAUUUAUAUAUCAUUUCAUUAGUCAAUAAUAAAGGUGCUCAAAUAGUAUAGAUUAAUAUAUCUGGGAUUUGAAAUCAGAUUAGUUUCCAUAUACCAAGUAUAAACAUCAUGAAAUUUCGUUUGUUUUCUCUACUUUUUGUUUGAACUUUCUUUCAAGUAUUUACUUGUCAAUAUUAUAUCUUUAAAUGUGUGUUCUUUUUCAGUUGUUCAUUAUUUUUUUAUUAUAGCUACAAAGAACAAACAAGACCUUAAUUAGCCAUUUGUAUUUUUUAUCAGCAUUAAGAUUUAGGCAAGUGGAACUGAGAUAACCAAGUUAAGUGGGUUGGUUACUAGUUUUCAUUUUUUCCGCAUUUGAACUGACUUGCAUUUGGUCUGACUCAAGGUUGACUAGAUUUAUAAAUCUGGCCCAAUUUGCCUGAAUCAGUACCAGUAUUGGGUCAAAGUCGGAAGAGUAGAGAACUGUUUCUGUGUUUUAUCAUUUUCUCACCAUUAUGUUCUACAUCUUCUACGAAAUGCUAAAAAGUUCAAUGUAAUAUGCUACCCGGGUUUUGGAUAAUUUAUAAUUUCUAGAUGCAUCAUGGUUUGUUUGUUGUUGCUGUUGUUAUGAUUGAUAGGUGACAUGACUUUACAGAUAUGUUUAAUAUGUCAAAAGAGUGAGUGAACUCCAUUAUGACUUUAUCAGAUGCAUGGUGCAAACAGACUCUAAUAUCAGGAUUUCGAAAUAUGGGUGUCUUAGAAGGCUUGGAUCAACUAUAAUGUGUUGGUUACAUUUGUGUCCUUGAUGCAUGCGAGAUAUUUUAUGAAUACAUGAAAGUUCUUGGCAAAUGGAUGCAAUGUGACCUGCAGUUAUAUCGAAAAGUUGAUCUCAAGGACACCUCAUAUGUUUGUCAUGCAUGAUCAUCUUUUAUGCAUCCAUAAGAGAACUUUUUAAGGUUUCCCUAAAUUUGGAUAUAGAACAUGGGGUAAUAUAUAGAGCCAUGUAUAAGCAUCUACCUGGAACCAGAUGCACAAAACUUUGACUUUCUGUUUCUUUCCUGCAUUUUCUAUGCUUUGUUAGUUUAUCUUAUGCUUGUACUGACUAAUAGGUGUGCUGGGUCUGAAGAAAUUUACUUCCUAAUUGUUGCUGAAGUCAUCCAUUUUUUCCUACCUGUCUAUGUUUUCCCUUAUUUUGUGACGUUUAUGCUCUUCUACGGGAAAUCAAAGGAAAUUAAUGGAACUGAUAUUCCGUCAGGCUGCUUUGUAUGGUGCAUGUUGAACCUACUUAACAGAGUGAAACUUGCCUGGAAAGUAGUUAUUUGGAGAAGUUCAUUUCCUUUGUUACAUAUCUUUUAUAAUAAAAUUGUAGCUAUAAUUCCUAUGUCCAGUUUCAGGGAACAAACUUUGUUGGUGCAUCUUUUAGUUAAUCCCAGUAUUUGAGCACUUCGAGUGAUUCAUAACUUUGAUUAAUAUAUGGACAAUUGAUUAGCCUAUCACUCAUUUGCAGGCUACUGGUUUAGAUCCAUGGACCUGCUCAAAGCUUUGGCAAAUCAUCAAAACCAUGGUGAAAAACUGAGAUUAACCUAAAGUGUUUACUUGGGUCACCCAGAAAUGUUGUACACACUGUCAACAUAUACCGUCUUUGAUGCACGAAUGGAGGAGUACAUGAUGCACAUGUAACACAGUUAUCUCACAAUAGAUUGAUUUCAGAAUUCUCUUCUGCUGCAUGAUGUUCAUGUCUAUGAGACAUGGAUGCCAUAUUUUUGACAGCACAUCAUAUGAUUUUUUGUGUGUUCAUGUAGGAGAACUGUUGGAUUCCACAUGCAAGUUCCUUUUGUAGGUAGCAUGAAAGACACUCUUUUAAUGCUCCAUUCUAAUUCUGCUGAUAGAAUUUUUUGACUAUAUCAUGUGCUGGGACAAGUGGAUGAGUUCUAAGAGAUGGAGAAAAGAAGCUGAAAAAGGGGCAUAUCGAUUGUUCCAGGACUGAGAACCCACUGCCCUGCCACUGUGGGAGAUUCCAUCCAUGGCUAUGGACCAUUCAACAAAAAAUAGUAUCACUGUGCAUCAAUAGAGUUCCAACUUCUUUUUGCAAAUUGAGGGUGGAGGGAGCAAGUUGUCAACAUCUAUAGGGUGCUCCAAAAGCCUUCCAACCAAAACCAGGAAAUUGCUUGAACCCCAAGGCAAAACACUUAAGAGGUCACAAGAUCUAAAGAAAUGGAGGAAACCGGUUCAAAGUGCAUAUUAUAGAAGAAGUUUUUAGGGAAAUAUCGCAGCUGAAAUUUAGAAGGAAAUCUUAUGAUAGGGUCUCCUGCAUUUGUGCUGUUAUGAUUGCUCAGGAGUAAAGGGAAACAUUGAUCUCCAUGAACUUCUUCACUCUUUAGGUUUCUCCAUUUAGGUUUGGAGUUUAUAAGAAUAUUUCAUAUCAAUCACCUAAUAUGGUGCCUCUCUCCUUGUGAACUUCUGAUAAUGCACAGAGUCUUUCUCUGACCUUCAUAUGGAAGAUCAUAUGAAUCUGGAGUCUGAUAAGUACUUUUUUUUCUAUUGAACUAUGAUAUCACUCAGCUCAAUAAAAAGGCAAGUGGCCUUCUGCAUUAUAAAGGCACUGCCUUGGAGGUGUUCACCAAAUCCUUAUUCGACAAUCAAGGAACAGUGGAUUUAUGCAAACUUUAGGUUAAUUAAUUUUAGUAUUAAGCUAUCUCUUUAUUAAUACAAAAAAAGAUAAGAAGGAUUUUAAGAAACUAUGAUUAUACAGUUUAUCCUAAGAGGAAAUCUAACAUCUACUUUAUCUCCGUAUCUGAUACAGAAGGAGAAUUUGGUUGGUUUAUGAGGUUGGAUGAAUCUUUUAUAUUAACUAGGGAUUAAGUAUUUUGGGACAGUGUUCUUUAAGCGUAACAUAAAUUAUUGCUCCUUAAAAAAUUUCCUAAUUUUAGUAAAUAAUUAAAGUGGCUCCAUGGUACAUGGUUAAUUUUAGUUCAACAUUGUAUCAUUUUACAAAGAUGCACCUCAAAUAACUCUAUGCUGUAUGGUUUUAGCUUGGAUGAUGUGGGGAACGACUAUACCUCUCUGCUCACUAUGCAUGUCCAAGACUUUGUGACUAAAGAACCUUGAACUCCAUGAAACUUAAAAUUCAUGGUUUUUCUUUCCUCGCUGUGAAUCUCGAAAUCUGUGAUCCAGUUCUUCAAACACCUGAGACCCGGUUGAUUCUGUUGGAUAAGGUCAGCGGGUGAGAUCACCAUCACCAUUCUUCAGGUCAGUAAUCCAUUAAAUUUUGCAGAUUUAUAUGCGGAGAGCGUAUAACAAUUCUUCUGGUUUUGUCAUGUGUUCUUAGAUCCCUCAUCAAUGCACAGUCAGACUGCACUUGUCAAGCUGCUUGUAUUGGAGGGCAGUACUCUGAAAAUUUUCCAUGGUAACCUCACAUGGAAUCUAACACACUGUCUUCAUUCUCCAGCUUGGGAGGCUCUGUCCAUGUCCCAGUGGCACUACUACCCUUUCAAUUAAUAUCCUUUUUAUGAUCACAACUGCCUUUUUGCCAUUCUUUGGGUUUUGUGGUCUCCAUGGCCCCAUGCCUGAUGCAUUUGCUGCACUGGUAAACCUGGAAACUUGAGGUCGACUUGCAACAACAAGCUUUUCACUGCCUGCAGGUGGUGGAUGGCUUCAGCUGUUACCAAUAUAUAUUCCAUUGAUUGUGCUACACAUGAACCCCUGCUAUGCUGGAUGGAGUUGGGAGUUCUGAGUUGGAUGUUAAACCUGUUGGUGUUGCACUUCUUCUAUCUGAUCUUUCUUUCUCAGGGAUGGCACCAGACCAUAUCUUUUCAGGUUGGAUAUGUGCAGGUGCCGUAGAAACCUAAGCCAGUGUCAUCGCUAGAUGAUUCUAAUUAAAGGUGCGAUAAGAGAGGAUUGUGCCAUUUUGAAGUAGACACAUGAUGGAUACUGAAGCAAUGUACCUGAUCCAUCCAUGUCAUGAUGUAAAUGAGAGGUAGAUGGUAUCACCUAACAUGCUACUAUUGAAGCAUUUCACUUGUACUUAUGUAACCAAAGAUGGUCGGCAGACUAAGAAAACGGAAGAACCGGAAAACCCUGCUAACUUAUUAUUGUAUCAAAUGUUGUAUUGAGAAUUUCUCAUUCACAAGAUCCUUCCUGUUCCUGUACCUUGAUUUUUUUUAUGGAUUGCUGUUAAGAAAGUAUAAUUCCUUUCCUGUA